AUGCUUACUCUCGUCCCUAAGGAACCUGAUGCAACUUCCAUGAAAAAGUUUAGACCCAUCAGCUUGCUUAACUGUGGUUUUAAAUUUUUUACUAAGGUCCUCACCAACAGGCUGACUAGGAUCCUCCAGAGGCUGAUUGCCAGUAACCAAUCUGCCUUCCUCAAAGGCAGAUACAUUCUGGAGAGCGUGGUCACUGCCCAUGAAGUAGUGCACUCAGUCCAUUCUGGGAAAAAACAAGGUUUGGUUUUGAAACUGGAUUAUGAAAAAGCCUUUGAUAAAGUAGACCUUGGUUUCCUCCUGGACCUCCUCAAAAAAAGAGGCUUUGAUGAUAUUUGGAUUAAUUGGAUUCAGCAGAUCACUCAUAAUGGCUCGGUUGGGGUCAAAAUUAACAAUACUGAAGGUGAUGAGGCUGAUUCUAAAAACUAUCAAGAACUAGGUGAUCCUGUCCUCGGAUGGGGCGGCAGAAAGGCUGGAGGCCUUCACAACACACCUCGCGACCAAUCUGAGACAACCACUGAUGAUCAGUGGCUGAUCAUGAAGCACGCUGGAGCACCGUUGGUGACUCCAUGGGACAAGCUGAAGAUCUCGGACGACGCAGUGGGCUUCUCGUCCCCCUCCAAGAAGCGUUCAGAAGCUACAUCGAUGCCGAGUCCAACCUCGACCCUGGUGGCUGCCUGGUCCCCUCAAGCGGUGACUGCACCGCCGCUGAAAGCGUGCAAGGCAUCCCAGGAGCUGAUCUGCAUUUGA
rnacentral:rRNA from 1 species